GUAGUCUCGCACAGAUGCAUAUCAAUAAGCGGAGGAAAAGAAACUAACAAGGAUUCCCUCAGUAACGGCGAGUGAAGCGGGAAGAGCUCAAAUUUGAAAUCUUGAAAGGUCACCUUUCACGAAUUGUAGUUUAAAGAAGUGUUUUCUGUUGAAGAUUUGUAAUAAGUUCUUUGGAAUAGGACAUCAUAGAGGGUGAGAAUCCCGUAUGAUUGACCGAUUAUUGUCAGCUUUGUGAUACACUUUCAAAGAGUCGGAUUGUUUGGGAAUGCAGUCCAAAAUGGGAUGGUAAAUUUCUUCUAAGGCUAAAUAUUGGCGAGAGACCGAUAGCGAACAAGUACCGUGAGGGAAAGAUGAAAAGAACUUUGAAAAGAGAGUUAAAUAGUACGUGAAAUUGUCAAAAGGGAAGCGUUUAACACCAGUGUUGUUUUCUGAAAAUCAACCUCUGUUAGCUUUAUGCAUGUUUGUUUAGACCUAAUCAGCUAUCUUGCAUGUUCUAUUGUUUGCAGUGGUGCACUUUUCAGUUUACAGGUCAACAUCAGUUUUUUUUACCGUAAAAAAGUUAAAGAAAGGUAGCUCAUGGCUCCGGUCGUGAGUGUUAUAGUCUUUUUCCUAUGCGGUAGGAGAGACUGAGGUCUGCAGUGUAGGCUAUUUGGCUAGAUACUCAGGUGCUAUGUGAUACCAUUUCAUAAACAACUUGUUGAUUAUGUUUUGUCUAUUGCAUACUCGCUUGUACUAUCAUACCUACGCUUAGGAUGUUGAAGAUGUAGCACAUCAU
rnacentral:rRNA from 1 species